UUUGAUGGCGACCGGCGCACGGGUGAGUAACACGUAUCCAACCUGCCGAUGACUCGGGGAUAGCCUUUCGAAAGAAAGAUUAAUACCCGAUGGCAUAGUUCUUCCGCAUGGUAGAACUAUUAAAGAAUUUCGGUCAUCGAUGGGGAUGCGUUCCAUUAGGUUGUUGGCGGGGUAACGGCCCACCAAGACUACGAUGGAUAGGGGUUCUGAGAGGAAGGUCCCCCACAUUGGAACUGAGACACGGUCCAA
rnacentral:rRNA from 1 species